AACGGGAAGGAAACCGGGGGUCUGGCACGCGCGUGGUGGUCCCGGCUGCGCCGUGGCGGGGAAGGCCGGCUGUCCUCGGCCCCGGGGUUGGGCGGGUGGACGCCCGGCCCUGUCCCGCGCUGUGCAGUGGCCGUGGGACCCCGGCGCUGUGCAGUGGGCAUGGGCGGUGGGGCGGCUGGCCCUUCGCUGAGCCCUGGCUGAGGUGGCUGAGGAGAAACAGGUGCACGGAGCAGCUGUCUGUUGUUUCAGACGCGUUUCCGUGCUGUCAGCAAGACGGGACAGCCCAGACUUUUUCUUUUUGAAAGAGAGACCAUCUUUUGCAUCUCCGAGUUUACUGCCCUAGAUGUGUCCAACACUGGGGCUGGUCAGGCCCAAGCCAGGAACCCCGGGAUGCAAGGGCCUCAGUUGCUGUCUGUCAGAGUGCGCCUUGGCGGUGCUGGGCUGGACCCCCUGCACAAACCUGGGAUGCUGGUGUCCCAGGGGAGCUGCAGCAAAAGCCAGGCCACUUCACCCCGCCCCUUUCCUGUGUGUCUGCACUUCCCUAGUGGAAGUUGCUAGUUGCCUGCCUGCUGUUUGUGGUCCUUAUUGGCUGAUAAAAGAAAGGAACCAUACAGACUUUUGACUGGCACUGAGUACAUCGUUGGAAGGAAAAACUGUGCUAUUCUAAUUGAAGAUGAUCAGUCAAUCAGUCGAAAUCAUGCAGUGUUAACCGCUAAUUUUGCUGUGACCAACUUGAGUCAAACUGAUGAAAUCCCUGUAUUGACAAUCAAAGAUAAUUCUAAAUAUGGUACCUUUGUUAAUGAGGCAAAAAUGCAAAAUCACCUUCCCCAAACUUUGAAGACAGGGGAUAGAGUCACCUUUGGAGUGUUUGAAAGUAAAUUCAGGGUAGAGUAUGAACCUUUGGUUGCCUGUUCUUCUUGUUUAGAUGUGUCUGGGAAAACUGCUCUAAAUCAAGCUGUGUUGCAACUUGGAGGACUCACUGUGAACAGCUGGACAAAAGAAUGUACUCACCUUGUCAUGAUGUCAGUGAAAGUCACCAUGAAAGUAAGUUGAACUGUGUUCCCAUAUUAAAACAAGUUCUGGGACCUUGAGUGAACUCACCACAGCACAGAGUUAGCACCAUGUGUCUCUUCUGUCAGAUUGUCUUCCUCCAGUCUCUGACAUUGUCUCAUGGUCUCAUGCUCCCUCAGUUAAGUUAUAAUCACACAAAGAUUUCUUUGCUGUAUCUUUAAAGCCCUGAGAUGUAUGGAUAUGUACCUUCCAAAGAUGCUGACUAGUCAUU